AUGAAGAGGCAUAGACUUGGCUAGAGUGAGACAGCUGGUAGAGAGCCAGAUGAGAUGAAAACUGAAAAAUUUCUGAAUCCGCCUUUUCUUCUUGACCACCCUGCUUCUUGCAUUCUUUCCAUUCUGAAAGGAAGGGGUUAUAGUAGCAGCCUCUUUAUGCUCUGGACUCUGAAAUUCUGUGGAUGAAGCUCACAGAAGUACCUAUUUGUGGGAGCACCUGGGAACCAGAGACAACGGGAACCUGCUAGCCGAGGCAUCAAGAUCACCAAUCAGGCAGAGGAGGGUGUAGACACUCCAGGGAACCCAGAUCCUCAGAACAGAGGAAACUUCGUGUACCUGGUUCAUAGUAUGGGAGAGAACUCUCUGCAGAGCUGGAGAAGAUGGGUCUGGAAUCUGAGCAGAGGGCUUCCAUUUAAGCUGGGAGGAGGCAUCUUCAUUCACAAUGGUGGGCAGGAGCAGCUGCUACAGAGGUUCCCAAGCUUGGAUUCAGUUCGAAGUUACAGAAAAAAAAAAAAAAAAAAAAGCAAUGCUUAAAUUACACGAAGAUCAACUAAAUCAGGGUCUUCUGUGAACACAGGUACCAUUAUCUUUCAAAGUAUUUGGCAAUUCUAGUGUGUGUAGGUGACACUGCUGUUUCAGACCAGAAGAUCAAGUUCAGCUCAGUUUGAGUUCUAUGAAUAACAGUGACUUGAGUGCCAAAAGUCAGGAAAUGGACCUCAGCAGUUCUGGAUAUCAGAGUCUUAUUUGAGGAGUUAGAGAACAGGAAGAAUGUUUGUAUAUUGGCUAUGUAAAACACAGAGACAAUGGAGAGUGUUGGUUUAUACAAAUUAAAAGUCAGUCCUGGAGCUGGUGAGAUGGCCCAAUGGUCAAAUGAUGUUUUCUGCUGAGCUUGACAACCUGAGUUUGAUCCCUGAGGUCCACAUGGUAGGAAAAAAAAACCCUGAUUCCCCAAAGUUGUCCUCUGACCAGUACAUAUAUACAGUGGCUAGAGUUCCUGUAUACACACACACACACACACACACACACACACACACACACACACAC